rnacentral:rRNA from 1 species
UACGUAGGCAGCAAGCGUUGUUCGGAGUUACUGGGCGUAAAGGGCGCGUAGGUUGUUGCAUAAGUUGGUUGUGAAAGCCCUGGGCUUAACCUGGGAAUUGCAACCAAAACUGUGUAACUAGAGUACUGUAGAGGGUAGUGGAAUUUCCGGUGUAGCGGUGAAAUGCGUAGAGAUCGGAAGGAACACCAGUGGCGAAGGCGGCUACCUGGACAGAUACUGACACUGAGGCGCGAGAGCGUGGGGAGCGAACAGG